UACGGAGGAUCCAAGCGUUAUCCGGAAUUACUGGGCGUAAAGAGUUGCGUAGGUGGCAUGACAAGUAGAUAGUGAAAGCGUGUGGCUCAACCAUACAUCCAUUAUCUAAACUGUCAGGCUAGAGUAUGAGAGAGGUAGAUGGAAUUCUCUGUGUAGGAGUGAAAUCCGUAGAUAUAGGGAGGAACACCAAUGGCGUAAGCAGUCUACUGGCUCAUUACUGACACUGAGGCACGAAAGCGUGGGGAGCAAACGGG
rnacentral:rRNA from 1 species